UUUAUAAACCACUCAGUGUCAGUUAUUUCUGUUAGUAAUGUAAUAGCAGACUAAGAAUCAUGGAAAUCUUCACAUGGUGGAAGGUGGCAGUGUUGAUGGAAGUCUGUAAAUCUGCUUUACAGUAAUUGCAGGGUUACGAAGUCAUGUCUGCAGAGCACAUUCCUUCACAUCAAUUCCAGGUAGAAUCAAGAUCUCAAUUUUCCUAGAGGGUCUCUAGAGGUGACAAGGUACAAGACAUGAAAGGCAGGGAAGGGGAGCCCAGGCCCGAGGAAGGGCAGAGAGAUGAUGGAGCCAAGUUGUGGUUACACAUUAUUAAAUAUGAAUACUGAAGAAGUGACUACAUAAAAAGGCAAGGAAUUGAGGAUGAUUGGUGUCAUCUCAGCAAGGCAGGAGGGAGAAGACAGAAUCUUUUCUCAGUUUGGGAUCCUGUAUGCAUCACCCACACGCUCUGGAAUAA